GAGCCAAACUUGUGUAGUUUGAAUAUGCAGCAUGAGCAGGAUUUGGAAAAUGUGUAGGUGUAGAAUAGGUAAACGUUUUUGCAGAAUCAUCAUGUGUGCCUACAGACGUGCUGAAUAACUGGAAAGGCAGAAGCAAUUCCUCUUUUCCAGCUGGGAAAACCGUUCCCUGCUGACUUUGUGCAGCUCAGCCUUUUUUUUUUUUUUUUUGAGACGGAGUCUUUUUUUUACGCCCGUCUAAUUUUUUUGUAUUUUUAGUAGAGACGGGGUUUCACCAUGUUAGCCAGGAGCAGCUCAGCUUUUUUUGUUGUUGUUUCCAUGUUCUCCCCAUGUUCACCUCUCUAGAAGCUUGCCUUUUAAAAUAACAUGGGCCAGAGAUACACUUGGAGUUUCAGCAGAAGCAGCCAAAAUCAGGAAAAUGAACUAGGAGUUAUCAUGAAAGUCUCACUAUCCUUCACACCAAUCAUCACUUAAACUGCAGUCCCUUUCCACAGGCUAUCACACCAUAAAGCAGGUUUCCCUAUUCAAAUAGGGCAUAGGCUGGGUUCUGUGGCUCACACCUAUAAUCCCAGCACUUUGGGAGGCCGAGGCAGAAGGAAUGCUUGAGGCCAGGAGUUCAAAACCAGCCUGGGAAACUUACCAAAACUCUGUGUUCAGAAAGAAUGUAAAAAAAUAGCUAAGUGUGGUGGCACAUUCUUAUAAGUCCCAGUUACUCGUAGGCUGAGGCAGGAGGCUUGCUUGAGCCCAGGAGUUCAAGGCUGCCAUGAGCUACUAGUGUGCCACUGCACCCCAACCUGGUAAGGCGGUGACGCUGUCUCUAAAAAAAAAGGUGGGGGUGGGCCAGGUACACUGGCUCGCGCCUGUAAUCCUAGCACUUUGGGAGGCCGAGGUGGGCGAAUCACUUGUCAGUUUGAGACCAGCCUGGCCAACAUGAUGAGACCCCUGUCUCUUCUAAAAGUACAAAAAUAAAAAUUAGCCAGGUGUGGUUGCACACCUGUAGUCACAGCUACUGGGGAGGCUGAGGCAGGAGAGUCACUCAAAACUGGGAGGCGGAGGUUGCAGUGGGCUAUCACGGCAUUGCACCCCAGCCUGGGUGUCAGAGCGAGAACCCCUCUCAAAAACAAACUAAAAACAAAACCACCACCAACAAACUAGGGUUUAUGCAAGUGUAGGAAAAAAAGUAAAAAGUGCCAGGCAUGAUGACUUAUGCCUAUAAUCCCAGCGCAUUGGGAGGCCAAGGUAGGGGCAUCUCUUGAGCCCAUGGAUUUGAGACCAGCCUGAGCAACAUAGCAAGACCGCAUCUUCUACACACAGACACACACACACCCCCUACAAAAAUUAGCUGGGCAUGGCAGUGCAUGGCUGUAGCCCUAGCUACUUGAGAGGUGGAGGUAGGUGAAUCACUUGAGUCCAGGAGUUCGAGGCUGCAGUGAACUAUGAUUGUGUCAUUCAUUGCCAGACCCCAUCUCAAAGAAAAAAAAAAAAAAAGGCAGGAAGUCAAUAUAAGUAGAGUUGGUAGUUACGAAAGUAGCUGGGAUCUAAUUGCUCUGUGAUGUUUCGAAUUUUCCUAUUAUGUACGAAAACAAACUCUUCCAUUUAAAUCUCAAAAGCCAAAUGGCCAAUGAGAAGCCGCUACUUCUGAUUUAACAACCCUGUCAAAGUUGAGCCAACUGAAAUUGGUCCUGUUUUUGAUAGGCAGGGGCAAGGAGUGAAACUUGAAAAGCAUUUUGUCCUAAUCAAAGACAGGACUCCUGCUGCUCUUUGUGUAUACCCUUUUGGAUCAGGUCCUUAGAAGAAACUCCUCAUAGGCUGGGCGCAGUGGCUCACACCUGUAAUCCCAGCACUUUGGGAGGCUGAGGGGGGUGGAUCACGAAGUCAGGAGAUCGAGACCAUCCUGGCUAACACGGUGAAAUCCUGUCUCUACUAAAAAUACAAAAAAUUAGCCAGACGAGGUGGUGGGCCCCUGUAAGUCCCAGCUACUCAGGAGGCUGAGGCAGGAGAAUAGCGUGAACCCGGGAGGCGGAGCUUGCAGUGAGCCGAGAUCGCGCCACUGCACUCCAGCCUGGGCAACAGAGCGAGACUCUGUCUCAAAAAAAAAAAAAAAAAAAAAAACUCCUCAUAAAUAUUACCAUGUAUGAAGCAUAUCAUUGUUCAAAGAAAGGUCAUUAAUCCUGUACCGAAUACCAGGUACUUCCAACCCAAGUAUACAAAUCCUGCUGAAGUGAGAUGUUUAUUGACUUUUGUGUACUACACUCAAUAGACUACCCCCUUCCUUAAAAGCGUUUAGUCUUUUCACCAAUUUUCAUAUCCCCAAUUAUAUAUUUGACUUUAGAGUUCUUAAAAUUGUAUGGAAAUAACUUUUUUUUUUUUUGAGCUGGAGUCUCAGUCUGUCGCCGAGGAAGGAGUGCAGUGGCGCUAUCUCCGCUCACUACAACCUCUGCCUCCGGGGUUCAAGCGAUUCUCCUGCCUCAGUCUCCUAAGUAGCUGGGAUUACAGUCCCCUACCACCAUGCCCGACUAAUUUUUGUAUUUUUAGUAAAGACGGGGUUUCACCAUGUUGGCCAGGCUGGUCUCAAACUCCUGACCUGUGUGAUCCGCCCGCCUCAGCCUCCCAAAAGUGCUGGGAUUACAGGCCUGAGCCACUGUGCUGGGUGUGAAAUUACAACUAAGGCUAGAAUUAACAAUUCAGAGGCCAGGAGUGGUGGCUCACACCUGUUAUCCCAACACUUUGGGAAACCCAGGUGGGUGGAUUACUUGAGUCCAGGAGUUUGAGAGACUAGCCUGGGCAAUAUGGCAAAACCCCUCUACAAAAAAUACAAAAAUUAGCUGGGUGUGGUGGCAUGCACUUGUAGCCCCAGCUACUGUGGAGACUGAGAUGUGGGAAUCACCUGAGCCUGGGGAGGUGGAGGUUGCAGUGAGCCAUGAUCACACCACAGCACUCCAACCUGGAUGACAGAGUGAGACCCUGUCUCAACAACAAAAAACAAGAAAACUUCAAAGGCAGGACACGACCAAAAACUUUUAAGGACAAAUCCUUUAAAAUUAACAUAAUUGUGGUGGGCACAGUGGCUCACAUCUGUAAUCCCAGCACUUUGGGAGGCUGAGGCCACGAUCGCCUGAGGUCAGGAGUUCAAGACUAGCCUGGCCAACAUAGUGAAGCCCUGUCUCUACCUGUAAUCCCAGCUACUCAGGAGGCUGAGAAUAGCCUGAACCCAGGAAACAGAGGUUGUAGUGAGCCGAGACCACACCAUUGCAUUCCAGCCUGGGCAACAACAGCAAAACCAUGUCUCAAAAAAAUAAAAAAUAUAAUUGAUUCUCUUCAAAAUUAAUCAUGUUACUUCUUGACUGUUCUCAUCAAGAAUUUUUUCAACUAACCUCCAUAGGGAGUUAUUUUGACAAAACUCAAGUUUCAGACUGCUAUUACCCAAUUACUAGUGCUUUAACUGAGAUCCAUCAGCAAGUUAGAUCUGCCAGUGACAGAAUUAACCAUUUCCAUUUUUCCAUUCACAUUAAAUUUCAACAAACUACCUGUUAUCAAGCAUCAUCAUUAGCUCCUAUGUAGCGCUUGAGGGGUGCAAAAUUAAGGAAAAACAAAAAGAUACAAACCACUUGGCCAGGCAAAAUGGCAAAUUCCUGUUGUAGUUCUAUUCCACUAACAUGCCUUGCAAUUUCUUACCACAUACCCAACAAAAUUACAAAACUUUAUGUUUGGCAAAAAAAUGAAGGAUAACAGUAUCUACGGCUCUGAAAGAGGUUGUCUCCCAUAAAUGAUUUUUUUUUUAAAAAAGGUGACUAAUUUUGCAUUUUAAACGCUUUAAAAAGGGUAGCAAAAUCAGUACCUCAGGCAAUAGUAACCAAGCCAGGUAGGAUCUGGUUACGAACACCUACCACCAACACAUCUUCAGUUAUAGGUAAAAGUUCUCAAAGCUUGAUGUCACUGACAUUUCCAUCACCUGGAAACUUGUUAAAAAUGCAAAUCAGGCCGGGUGCGGUGGCUCACCUGGGAACCGAGUGGGAGGCCGAGGGAAGAUUGAGGUCAAGAGUUAGAGACCAGCCUGGCCAACGUGGUGAAACCCUCUCUACUAAAAAUACAAAAAUUGAUUUGGCUGAUCUGGCUGGCUAAACCGGUGUCCCCUUACUCCCUCAAUGCUCCAAGUGUGUCCCUCCCGACCCUCCCGAAGCUGUGCAGUGUGUCGAAGAGGACAACCAUCACCAAUAGAGGACCGGUCUUCCUUUAAGGGUAUAUGUGUAGCUGGGUUUCCAUUAAAACCUCCAAUCUCUCAAAAAUGCAAAUUAUCAGUACUCAUCCCAAACUUAGGAAAUUAGAAAACCUGGCAGGGAGCCAGCAAUGCUUUAACCUGUAGGUAAUUUUGAUGUAUGCAAACAUUUGAAAACAAUUUGUUUUUGAGAGUGUCUCGCUCUGUCACCCAGGCUGGAGGGCAGUGGCACCAUCUCGGCUCACCGCAAGCUUCACCUCCUGGGUUCACACCAUUCUCCUGCCUCAGCCUCCCAAGUAGCUGGGACUACAGGGCCCCGCCACCAUGCCGGGCUAAUUUUUUGUAUUUUUAGUAGAGAU
rnacentral:lncRNA from 1 species